rnacentral:rRNA from 1 species
GAUCCUGGCUCAGGAUGAACGCUGGCGGCGUGCUUAACACAUGCAAGUCGAACGGAGUUUACUUAACAGAUUCCUUCGGGAUGACGUUUUUUAAACUUAGUGGCGGACGGGUGAGUAACGCGUGGGUAACCUGCCUUACACAGGGGGAUAGCAGUUGGAAACGACUGGUAAUACCGCAUACCUUACAUUAUUCGCAUGUUUGAUGUAAGAAAGAUUUUAUCGGUGUAAGAUGGACCCGCGUCUGACUAGCUAGUUGGUGUGG